rnacentral:tRNA from 1 species
GGGGAUUUAGCUCAAUGGUAGAGCGCUUGCCUAGGAAGCGCAAGGCCCUGGGUUCGGUCCCCAGCUCCCA